rnacentral:rRNA from 1 species
UGCCAAGAGAUGAGUUCUCCCAAUCUAAGAGAUUGUAAGGGUUGUUGUAGACUACGACGUAGAUAGGUCUGGUGUGUAAGUGUAGUGAUGCAUUGAGCUAACAGAUACUAAUUGCCCGAGAGGCUUAACUAUACAACGCUCAAG